CUGCCUUAAACUAAUGAGUAAGGAAAACAAAGUGAACGGUGAGAGCCGGUCACAGCGCCGCUGAGGAAGCUAUGGCGCAAGAAUUUAUGAAGGGGUUAUAGGCUGGCCCGGCGUUGACGCUGCUUACUUUGCAGAACUCGCCCAGGCGGGCCUCCCAACCCA